rnacentral:rRNA from 1 species
UACGUAGGGUGCAAGCGUUAAUCGGAAUUACUGGGCGUAAAGCGUGCGCAGGCGGUUAUGCAAGACAGAUGUGAAAUCCCCGGGCUCAACCUGGGAACUGCAUUUGUGACUGCAUAACUAGAGUACGGCAGAGGGGGAUGGAAUUCCGCGUGUAGCAGUGAAAUGCGUAGAUAUGCGGAGGAACACCGAUGGCGAAGGCAAUCCCCUGGGCCUGUACUGACGCUCAUGCACGAAGCGUGG